AGUGAACGCUGGCGGUAGGCCUAACACAUGCAAGUCGAACGGCCGCACAGUAAGCGCUUGCUCCUACGGGUGGCGAGUGGCGGACGGGUGAGGAAUACAUCGGCAUCUUCUUUUUCGUGGGGGACAACGUAGGGAAACUUACGCUAAUACCGCAUAUGACCUACGGGAGAAAGCAGUGGUUCUUCGGACCUUUCGCGAUUGUAUGAGCCGAUGUCGGAUUAGCUAGUUGGCGGGGUAAAGGCCCACCAAGGCGACGAUCCGUAGCUGACCUGAGAGGAUGAUCAGCCACACUGGAACUGAGACACGGUCCAGACUCCUACGGGAGGCAGCAGUGGGGAAUAUUGGACAAUGGGCGAAAGCCUGAUCCAGCAAUACCGCGUGAGUGAAGAAGGCCUUCGGGUUGUAAAGCCCUGUUGUUGGGAAAGAAAAGCAGCAGAUUAAUACCCCGAUGUUCUGACGGUACCCAAAGAAUAAGCCCCGGCUAACUUCGUG
rnacentral:rRNA from 1 species